GACGAACGCUGGCGGCGUGCUUAACACAUGCAAGUCGAGCGGUAAGGCCCUUUCGGGGGUACACGAGCGGCGAACGGGUGAGUAACACGUGGGUGACCUGCCCUUAGCUCUGGGAUAAGCCUGGGAAACUGGGUCUAAUACCGGAUAUGACUCCAUGACGCAUGUUGUGGGGUGAAAGCCUUGUGCGGCUAGGGAUGGGCCUGCGGCCUAUCAGCUUGUUGGUGGGGUGAUGGCCUACCAAGGCGACGACGGGUAGCCGGCCUGAGAGGGCGACCGGCCACACUGGGACUGAGACACGGCCCAGACUCCUACGGGAGGCAGCAGUGGGGAAUCUUGCGCAAUGGGCGAAAGCCUGACGCAGCGACGCCGCGUGGGGAUGACGGCCUCGG
rnacentral:rRNA from 1 species